AACCGGUAACCUAUUUAACGUGGAAGCGACCGUCUCGUCGGUCCUUUCACCGACUGUUCGCUCUGAAAGAGGACAGAGAAUGGAGAGUCAUCUUAAACAUAUAAUGCAGAACAACUCCGGUUCAGUCUCUACGGCCGUGCUCUGUUUGGAUCAUGUGCCAUGUGGUGGACAACUGUGCGAGCCAGAUGGAGGAUGAUGGCUAUGUUUGAGGUUCGGCAGUAAGUCCCAGUGAUGGUGCAGUCGCAGCACCAGUCUGCCGUGGCAGGAUAAUUACUUGAGGAAAAAGGAGCUCCAGAAAGGACGGCUACCAUCUGCGUCAAAGCAUGUGUGAGAAUUCUCAAGGUUGCUUGGGGAUAAAAAACCGGACAGAAGAUGUUGCAGCCGCUGUAACGGUCCCUGUGAAACAGUCUUGGUUACACUUGGCAGGUAAUGAGCAAAGCACCUGAUGAAGAUUGUACCAGUGGAACAUUCUUUUCUGUUCUCAAAGCAAAACAAACUGUCUCUAAAAUUUCUAUUUGUGGGUGGGGCUGUGGACUGUGUAGAGUUCACAUGGUCUCUCUGUGUUUCUCCAGUCCAAAGACAUGCACGUUAACAGGUGACUCGCCUGCGUGUGAGCAUCAGUGUCAUGUCAGCUGUGAUCAAGUCCAGGCCCCUGUGACUUUUUAAAAUUAUUUUUUAAGAUUAAGUGGGUAUAGAUGAUGAAUGGAUACUUGUGUGGGAUCUGAUCACUGGCUAUUAUCUGCCAGCCGUGUUGUCUUGCACAUUGUACAUCCAUAGUAAGAAUUGGCAUGCUGUACAGGCAAUGUGUGAUACCAAUUUGUAUUCAAAGAAAUAAACGUUUCAUCUCCUGAA